AAGAUCACAGGUGAAAGCUUGGCAGCUCAGGAGGGUUUGUCAGGAGGACAUGGAGACCCUGUGGUGCAGAAGCUACUGAGCCUGUCAUAAUGGAGCUGUCCAUCCUCACCCUCCAAUCUCCUUUUCUGGCUCGACUCUUCACAUGGCUUCUCCGUGGCUAAUCCUCAGCUCAGAUGCCUGUGGACUUUCUAGACAAACUCCAAGGCCUCCUGGGCUUUGUGGUCAAAGCUGCGUUGGACUCUUCUGCAGGGGAGGAAAGGGAAGUAGUAAGGGUGUCCCCAAACACACCAAAGACUUGGGUGAGCAAGGCCGAGCUUUCUGGAAACACUACUGCUCGAUUCCCACAGAAGUAGCAAGAGGGCAAAAGAAAAAUCCCUUAUGGCUCCUUCACAGCAGUUUUAUACCCUUUUUUGUUUGUUUUUUCUGAAGAGGAGGUUGGGCCUGAACACCCUCCCCAAAGUGCCUUUGACAUUUGGAGACCUUAGAGCUUAGAUCCACAGGAACAGGUCACAGCUCUGCACAGCCCUCCUGUUUCUCCCUCAUGCCUCUUGUAAGACUGGAAGAGAAAGUAUGGCCCGUAGAAAGCAGAGACCAAUUCCUUCCUUCACCAGACACUUCCCGUGCGUUCAGCUUCUGUUUCUCUUUUGUACCUCCGUUCCCUGCCCAUAAAAGCAGUAGGAGCCGUGUGGGGUUCGUAUAUUAGCAACAUGGGAUGUGCAACUAUUUCGUAAAUGAUGGAUCUGUAGAAAUACCCAGAAAGAAGGAAGUCAGAAUUUUCCAGAAAUAACAGGCUUUGCCAUGGACUUGAAGUCCAAUAUUGUUUUACAAGCAGACAAGCCGUUGCUGUCCAAAUGCUCUCCUCAUACCAGCAAAAAUGAGGUCUCAGAGAAAAACUUGUUUUUCCAAGACUUGUGUUUUGAUACCUUCAAUUCAUGAAAGGGACCAGAAAAAGCAUCCAGUGAUGGCUAAUUGUAAGAAGCGAAUGGACAUAGAGUUAACUGGCCUUGUCCGCAGUGCUCAGGUGCAUUCAUCUUGCAGUUCUACUUGAGCUAAGGAACAGCCAAUUUGUUCUGCUCUGCACCUCAUGUGCUGGGGUUGUCCUCUCUGACAGAGCCUUGAAGUGCUCCUACAAGGCCAGUACUGUUAAUAAUAACAAGCCACGCUCUGUAAUUCCCAGGAAGCCAGCAGUCCCAUCUACCCCAGCUUGGACGCUGUUACACAUCACAGUAUGAAAUACAGCCACAUUCCUUAGCUCUAAUUCUUUACAAUCACGUGGAAAAGAUGCCGAGUAAGAUUGCACAACUAAUUUCAAAGCUGGCAAGUAUGACUUUGUGAGACACAGCUCUAUCGCCACGUCAGGAAGGAGAUGGGGAGAUGGUAGCAGCGUACAGUGCACCUGUGCAGCAGCGCUUUGCCAUGGCUUGCCAGAGCCCUUGUUUCAGUGAGAAAUGUCAGUUUGUGCUUUUCAUCAGCAAAUUCAAUUUCUGUUAUUUUUUCUAAACAAAAGGAGUUUGAAAAAUGUUUUUUAAAAUAUCCUAAGUUCUCACACCAACAUUUUCUGAAAGACAAAUUUCUGUUCCCUUAUUUGGAGCAAUGUUCUCUGUGUUAUUUACGUACAAAUAAUGAUGCAAGUAGCUUUGCAGUAAGUUUUUAGAUGGCCCAAGCUGCAGUAAAGUAUCCAAUGACCUGCCCCAUGUCUCCCACUUUCUUUUUCUGUAGAUAGUUGACCCACAAAUACUUGUGAUACUUCAGCCUUUUGUCCAGAGGAUGGGCAUAAAAAACCCCAAAGGUUGAAGAAUUUUUGUUUGCCAGGCCGCGCUGCUCAUUUAUAGAGUGAAGAAAGGUACAGAACCGAUUGCUGUCUGUGAAGCCAAAGAAAAGCACAACUGUUAUUAAUGUGAGUUUCAAAUCGAGUAAAGUGAUGGAGUCUCUCACUUUUGGUAAGUUCCCAUCCCCAUAUCUUGAUAUGACCAGAGCUGGAUGUUUUUCUGGAAGAUGAGAGCAAAGCUACUGGGCUCAGUGCUGGGCUAAUUGGCUGCAAUUGAAUGGCUUUGAAUAUAGGAAGUCAUACCAGAUGUUCUCAUGGUUUCUUCUGGCCUUAAACCCUGUGAAUCUAUGAAUGAGUUUCUGAAUCUGUGAAAUCCCAAGUCCUAAGAAUACAAACAUAUGAGUGGAGUUAUAUUUCUGGCCUCUAGAUCAGAAGAAAUAUAUUGAAUGUGCAUUGUUGCGAUAAAUCAAAGAAACAGCUAAAUCCGAGCAGUAAUAAAAGUUGACUGCAGAUCUUUGUGCAGAAAUUGGUCAUAUGUCAUGUCAGGACAAGGUUCAGAGAAGUGAUUUCUCAACAUCUGAAAUAACUGCUUUUUGGAACAGCUCAUUCCAAGCCCUGUGGUGGAGAUUCUCCUCCGGACUUGGUCCUCAGUACCACACAGGAGCUCCUUUGACAAGUGACAAUCAGUGCAGCACUGAACGCUGUUGACCACAAAGUAAUUAAGAUGGGCAUCCCUGCCAUGAAAACAAUCAGUGAGACAUUCCAGUUUAGAGAAAGGCGCUUUGUUUUGCGGGGUUUUUUUAAGGGGAAGCUUGUCAAAACUGAGGAAAUUAAAAUCUAUAGUCAGCAAGAAAGCUACGGAGCCAUGGUCUAAGCGUGGUCACACUAGGCGUGUAUCCACCCACUCCCCUCCUCUCCCCCUUACCCCUGAAAAAAGGAAGAAGAGCAACAACCAAAAGAAUGAAGAAAUUAUGAUGCUUUCUUAUCACUUAAUAGCCUUUUUAAGUAACCUGAUUUGUUUCAGCAAGAAGCCUUGAACCUGCUGAAGUGUUAAAGCCCCAGAACCGAAUUCAGGUGAUGUGGAUUUGAAUCCCUCUGCUCAGAUGAUUUGCGACUGAGUCUUGAGCAUCUUUGUUUCCCUCCCUCGCCACCUCUCUCAGCCUUGUCUCCACAUCGGGAAGUCAUCGGAGCGGGCAGGAGUCAUCUCGGACCAUAUGCACCUCAUCAGCGCAACGCGUCAUGAUUUAGUGGGAGCCUGUCAGCACUCCUGUGGGAUGCGCAGUCAGCCAUCGCGGUGCCAGACUCCCGCCUCCGUGCAUGAGGGUGUCAGAGCCUGGCUCGGUGAGGAGAUUUAGAUGGCCACUUUAACGCUGCUCAUGAAACCGAGCAAACCUCCCCCAGUAAAUGGAAACCUCGCCUAAAUGAAACGGACAGAAAAAAGCACACGCUGACUAAAUUCUCCAGUGAAGCAUCCUUAUUAUAUAAUGCCGAGCUACAUGCACUGUGGAAAGUACUCCAUUUCAUUUGCAGAAGUCCCGUUGAUAUUCUAACGUCACCGCCAAUGUCACGCAACGCUAGGCGAAGUAACUAGUAUGGCAAUAUCACCAAGCAAUACAUAAUGCCAAUGACAGUGGAACUAAUGCAGAGGCGAUUAUUCUUACAUUAUUCAACACUUUCAAUUGCUUUCUGUUUUAAGUGACUGUAUGAUGUAAUAAUAUAUGAAUACUGUAAGGGAGGGUUUAUUUAUAGCCAUCCUUAGUGUUACCGGUGAAAGUAUUAAUGCAUUUUUCCCACGCUAUGUUCAUUGACUGCAGUAGAGCAAUCCAUUUUCAAGGGGCUGUGUCAAAAGAGUGUUUAAGCCAUUCCUCAAUCUCGGAAACAGGUGAAUGGUUAAUGUAGCAGGCAAAAUAAUCAGCUUUUAAUAUGGGAAACAAAAAACAGUGAGGGUGAAGAGAGGACUAGCAAGUACUUUUCAGCCUGGAGACUCCUCAGUGCAGUAGGAGCUUGCGAUGCCAAGCUCCCAGUUAAGCCGUCGAUGCUGCAUGUCUCAGUGAGGGGGGAGCAAUCCACCCUGGGGCUGGGUCAAAUACAGGAGCAAAACUGUAGCAAAGGCCAGUUCUGGUCUCAGAAAUCUUGAGUGAGGCCAUUCACACAGGUGCUUGGGCUUUCUGACGGUGUUGGCCCGGAUGGAGCUGGCUUUCCUUCAUGAGCCAUCCUUGAGCUCCAUGAGCCAUCUUGGAGCUGCCUGUGGCAUCCAGAUGCUUCUUCUCUUCACAGAGGACUGGCUGGAGCUGCCCUGCUCCCAAGUCCCUGCAAUCCCUGCAGCUUUAUGCUGGCCCAGAAAGAGCUGCUUUUCAGAAAUUCAGCUGGGACCUACAUUUCCCCUGUUUAGGGGAUGAGCUUUCACUGCAUAUGAGUUUACUCGCCCAUGCGCUCAUCACGCUCUCUGUAUCACGGCCCUCUGUUAAUGGCUGUUCAAGCAGGGACGCCAUGGGGAGGCUCGUCAGGGAAACGGCAGAACCUUCCUCAGCUCGUUUAGGGCUGCCUCCAUCCAUCUCUCUUACAAUUUACCUCUCUGAGAGCAUCCAAAGCCCAUGCAGCUGCGUGGGUUUGUAGCGUGAGGUGGAGCAGGAGAUGGGGCGUCCCCUUUCUGCACAGAUGUGACAGCAGGAGUGGAGGCACCGUCUUACCUGGUAUUGGCAUGCUGCAAGGAAGCAAAGGAACCUGCCUGUUUUUUCCUGUUUCACAAGAGCCAGAGCUUCACUGUAAACAGCCUUCAUCACACACAGAGGUCCACUUAGAAGAGGGCGAACACCAGAAAAAUAGAAUUUACAAGUACUCCCUCAAAUAAAAACCGUGAGUUUACUUUGGCAGCAGCAGUCAUCCUCCUAAUGAUUGCUUCUGGCGAAUAAUUAGGCAGGUACAACAAUAUUUACUGAAAUAUUCAUGGGACAGGGACACGGACAGAUAUGUGUGUAAAUAUGAGCUGACUGGUGAGCACUUGUGCAAAACUGUAUUCAUGAGAGUAUUUGUGCAGAGGGGUUUGCAUAACUGUUUUGAAGGCUGGUUGUGGGUUUGGGACUCCUCGAAUCAAAGCGGAGAAACUCGGCCACGUGUCGGAGGUAAACAGUGCAAAGAGAGCGGAAAUGAAAAAAAAAAAAAAA